rnacentral:rRNA from 1 species
AUUGAACGCUGGCGGCAUGCCUUACACAUGCAAGUCGAACGGCAUCGCGGGAAAGCUUGCUUUCCUGGCGGCGAGUGGCGAACGGGUGAGUAACACAUCGGAACGUACCGGCUAGUGGGGGAUAACCCGUCGAAAGACGGGCUAAUACCGCAUACGCUCUUCGGAGGAAAGCAGGGGACCUUUUGGCCUUGCGCUAGCCUAGCGGCCGAUGUCCGAUUAGCUAGUUGGUGGGGUAAAGGCCUACCAAGGCGACGAUCGGUAGCGGGUCUGAGAGGACGAUCGGCCACACUGGGAUUGAGACACGGCCCAGACCCCUACGGGAGGCAGCAGUAGGAAUAUUGGACAAUGGGGGCAACCCUGAUCCAGCAAUGCCGCGUGGGUGAAGAAGGCCUUCGGGUUGUAAAGCCCUUUCGGCAGGGAAGAAAUCGGCGGGGCGAAUAACCCUGCUGGAUGACGGUACCUGCAGAAGAAGCACCGGCUAACUACGUG